rnacentral:lncRNA from 1 species
AUUAUAUUAAAAUGGCAGAUACAAUUAAAUCUUAUUGCUAAUUUUCUAAAUUUUUUUUUACAGAUCAAUUUUAAAAUUAGUAAUCAUUUUUGAAUUUCAAAAGGUGAUUGUUGUAGCUUAACUGUCUAACAGGUUUGUACGUGGGUUUGUAUUAAAUUCAAUACUGCACUAAUUGAUAAUUCUGUAUCAAUGAUGGGAAAGCGUAAGAAAGUAUGGCGUAAAGAGCAUAUUGAGAAAAUAGUAGAUAGUGAAGAAGAAGAAGAAGAAGAAAAAGAAGAUGCAGAAGAAGAAUUUGUAUCACCUAGAAAAUGUUAUCGUAAGACGAAAGCUGAAUUUGAUAAGACAACUUGGAGCAUUCCGGAAAAAGCUCUUCUGUUAGAAGGUCUAAAACAAUUUGGAUUCAAUAAUUUAGAUAGAGUAGCUGAUCAUGUUAAAACAAAAAGUACAAAUGAAGUCCGGUAAGUAAUUUACUUUUUGUAUAAUUUUAAAUAAGUAAUUAGUAAUUCGGGUAAACGUGUAGU